CCUACGGGGGGCAGCAGUGGGGAAUAUUGCACAAUGGGGGAAACCCUGAUGCAGCGACUCCGCGUGAGCGAUGAAGUAUUUCGGUAUGUAAAGCUCUAUCAGCAGGGAAGAAAAUGACGGUACCUGACUAAGAAGCACCGGCUAACUACGUGACAGCAGCCGCGGGAAGACGGAGGGGGCAAGCGUGAUGCGGAUUUACUGGGUGGAAAGGGAGCGUAGACGGCUGUGCAAGCCAGAUGUGAAAGCCCGGGGCUCAACCCGGGGACUGCAUUUGGAACUGUGUGGCUGGAGUGUCGGAGAGGCAGGCGGAAUUCCUAGUGGAGCGGUGAAAUGCGUAGAGAUUAGGAGGAACACCAGUGGCGAAGGCGGCCUGCUGGACGAUGACUGACGUUGAGGCUCGAAAGCGUGGGGAGCAAACAGGAUUAGAUACCCGUGUAGUC
rnacentral:rRNA from 1 species